ACGGAAGGCAGCAGUGGGGAAUAUUGGACAAUGGGGGGAACCCUGAUCCAGCGACGCCGCGUGAGUGAAGAAGUAUUUCGGUAUGUAAAGCUCUAUCAGCAGGGAAGAAGAUGACGGUACCUGCAGAAUAAGCCCCGGCUAACUACGUGCCAGCAGCCGCGGUAAUACGUAGGGGGCAAGCGUUAUCCGGAUUUACUGGGUGUAAAGGGAGCGUAGACGGCAAUGCAAGUCUGAAGUGAAAGCCCGUGGCUCAACUGCGGAACUGCUUUGGAAACUGUAUAGCUAGAGUGUCGGAGGGGUGAGCGGAAUUCCCAGUGUAGCGGUGAAAUGCGUAGAUAUUGGGAAGAACACCGGCGGCGAAGGCGGCUCACUGGACGAUAACUGACGUUGAUGCUCGAAAGCGUGGGGAGCAAACAGGAUUAGAUACCCUGGUA
rnacentral:rRNA from 1 species